AAAGGCAACUCACAGAGAUCUGCAUUGAUCACUGCAAUGCAUCCCUAUUUGUUAUUAUUGUAAAAUUAUAGGGAUGCAUUGCAGUGAUCAGUGCAGAUCUCUGUGAGUUGCCUU